UCCAUGAUGCAGCAGGCGCGUAAAUUACCCAAUGUGGACUCCACGAGGUAGUGACGAGAAAUAUCAAUGCGGGGCGCUUCGCGUCUUGCUAUUGGAAUGAGAGCAAUGUAAAACCCUCAUCGAGGAUCAACUGGAGGGCAAGUCUGGUGCCAGCAGCCGCGGUAAUUCCAGCUCCAGAAGCGUAUGCUAAAGUUGUUGCAGUUAAAAAGCUCGUAGUUGAAUUUCUGGCGUGGGAGCCCUGGCCUUUGCGCGAAUGCGCUUUGUUUGCUGUGCGGCUCCUCUGCCAUCCUCGCCGGCUCUUUGGGUUGGCGUCAUUCACUGUAAUUAAAGCAGAGUGUUCCAAGCAGGUCGUAUGAUCUGGAUGUUUAUUAUGGGAUGAUCAGAUAGGACUCGGGUGCUAUUUUGUUGGUUUGCACAUCUGAGUAAUGAUUAAUAGGAACAGUUGGGGGUAUUCGUAUUUAGGAGCUAGAGGUGAAAUUCUUGGAUUUCCGAAAGACGAACUACAGCGAAGGCAUUUACCAAGCAUGUUUUCAUUAAUCAAGAACGAAAGUCUGGGGAUCGAAGAUGAUUAGUCCCCCCUUUA
rnacentral:rRNA from 1 species